UACGAGUACCCCAAGCGUUAUCCGGAAUUACUGGGCAUAAAGGGUGCGUAGGUGGCAUUGUUAGUCUUUUGUGAAAACUCCCGGCUCAACCGGGAAGACGCGAAAGAUACGGCAAAGCUAGAGAGCGUGAGAGGUCUGUAGAACUCAUGGUGUAGGGGUGAAAUCCGUUGAUAUCAUGGGGAAUGCCAAAUGUGAAGACAGCAGACUGGCGCGUAUCUGACACUGAGGCACGAAAGCGUGGGUUUCGAAC
rnacentral:rRNA from 1 species